rnacentral:rRNA from 1 species
GANUUUUCAGAGAUGAGAAAGUGCCCUUCGGGGAGCUUGAAAACAGGUGCUGCACGGCUGUCGUCAGCUCGUGUCGUGAGAUGUUGGGUUAAGUCCCGCAACGAGCGCAACCCUCGUCGUUAGUUGCUAACAGGUUAAGCUGAGCACUCUAGCGAGACUGCCUUCGCAAGGAGGAGGAAGGUGAGGACGACGUCAAGUCAUCAUGGCCCUUAUGGCUAGGGCUACACACGUGCUACAAUGGGGCGUACAGAGAGUUGCGAUACCGCGAGGUGGAGCCAAUCUCAUAAAGCGUCUCUCAGUUCGGAUUGUUCUCUGCAACUCGAGAACAUGAAGCUGGAAUCACUAGUAAUCGUAGAUCAGCAAUGCUACGGUGAAUACGUUCCCGGGUCUUGUACUCACCGCCCGUCACACCAUGGGAGUUGAUUUCGCCCGAAGCGGGGAUGCUAACUAGCUACCCUCUACGGCGGAAUAGCGACUGGGGGAAGUCGWACAAGGUACCUWAW